UACGGGGGGAGCAAGCGUUGUUCGGAUUUACUGGGCGUAAAGGGCGCGUAGGCGGCCACCGCAAGUCGACUGUGAAAUCUCCGGGCUUAACCCGGAAAGGUCAGCCGAUACUGCGGGGCUAGAGUGCAGAAGGGGCAACUGGAAUUCUCGGUGUAGCGGUGAAAUGCGCAGAUAUCAGGAGGAACACCGGUGGCGAAGGCGGAUCUCUGGGCCUUACCUGACGCUCGAGGCGCGAAAGCUAGGGGAGCGAACUGG
rnacentral:rRNA from 1 species